UUUAUUCCUGCUCGGAUCAUAAUGAAUGUGUUGGGCGAGAUUGAUUAUAUGUGUCAGUUUUAUAUGAUUAAACCCUGACUGCGGAUGGUUUCAAACAAUGAUUUCUCAGGCCAUGUUGAAAGUAAUCGUCUUGAUUAUUGCUCACCCCGUAUUUGUAAUGUUAUUAGAGAUUUUUUUUUCAGACACUGUUCAAUAGUAUCGAGACUUAUUCCGAGUCAUAAUAUGUUUUGUGGUACAUCAUCCAAGUUUCAUCCAAGUAGUAUGACCCUGUAGAAUGGGCAGUAAAGCCGUACUAAUCAUCUGAUUCAUGUUCAUCAAAAUAAUACCCCAGACGCAGCCACCGUUGGCCACCGUGUAGCUCCGCCCCUGCUCGUGUUCUUGCAACACAAAUCAAAAGAGUCACCCAAAAAUAUAUGUCGAUUGGUGCGCUAAUUAAUUUCCACUGUACUGUUCAAAGAAUACCUCAAACAGUAGGCCACAGGUGUGAAACACAAGGCCCAGGGGCCAAAUCUGGCCCGCCACAUCAUUUUUUGUGGCCUGCGCAUCAAAUAUGUCACCUUUCAUGAUGCUUGCUGAAACCUCUACCAAACUUUAAAAAUUCUCAUUUUUAAAAAAUAAGAGUGAUACUGUCAGCAUUUUCUUGUGAACAAACCCCUCAUUUCAGUAACUUAAACAAUAGGGGAAUAAACCGUUAUUCUUGACUUCUUUAUAUGGUUUCAGUCAUAACGGCCCUCUAAGGGAACUACAAAAAAAAUCUGGCCCGCGACAAAAAAUGAGUUUGACACCCCUACAGAAGGCUAUCAAUCGAAGAGCUUGUCUUCAAUCUAAUCCAGAGAGUGCAUCUCGUGAGCUGUCCCAUUGAAUGUUCUCGCUAUACUUGGACUCAUAUUGCGGGUGUGCCCGCUGUCAAAUGUCACCCGUCGAUUCAAAUACGGAAAGCCCCACUCACUUGGUGGCGAGGAGCAUGCUUCGUCGCGUGGGAAGCUGGUCUGGCUCACUCUGCCUGCACAGAUACUCAGCGGCGGCUCUGGCGGGGAACUCAGUCUCACACACGUAUCCGAAAUCCCUCGCCAGAUGGACGGCCUCACCUGCAAUAGGAGGAGGAGGAGGUGGAGGGCGACGAUAGAGGCAGUGUGAGUCUCGUAGAGGAUUUUCAAUUUGGAUGUGGGCAGGUCAGUGUUGGAUAGUGUGUGUGUGAGUGUGCGUCGCACCCUCCACCAGAGAUGUUAGCAGAGUGACGUUGGCUGCCUUGCGUCGCCCGGCGGGCAGGUUGAGGCCAAUCUUCUCCAGACGCUCUCGCAGACAGCGGCCACCAUUCUUGGACUUCGCCCUGAGGGGAGUUGUGCAUCAGUUCCAUGGCCCACCUCAACUUGGUCAUUGAGCGCAAGCCUCUUUUGGGAUCAGUAUCAUUACAAAGUGCCUUUGGUGUCAGAAUUUGAAUCACUCCAUCAUCACUGAGAGUAAAAUGCUCUGUGAUCAUCCAUGGUGGUUGGCUUAUUUUGACCAAUUAAGAAGUCGAAAGCACACGUGUGUUGAAAUAGAGCGAUUGAAAGUACAGAAUUCAUCAAAAAAGUGAAUAUUCAAGUAAAAUUAUCCAGCUAAUCUGAAACAAACCAUACAGGUUUGUAUUUGUUUUUUAAUUUUUUUUAUUAAUGGCCAAUUUAUCUUUUUUUUUUUAGGCCAUUCAGAACGUUAGCCCGAGCCAAUGCUAGCUACCAUGUUAGCUAGAGCAGAACAGAAUGGUAGUAUUUUUAUCCACCUCUUGUGGAGGUAUGAAUGGAAUUCUGUGCGGUAUUAUUGGUGUUUUGUUUUUUUUCUCUUACCUGCGGAGGACUCCGCCCAACAGAGAAGCGUUGAGGCACUCGGGCGGGGAGAGCCGCCGCUGCACCUCUCCGACGGUGACCUUAUACUUGGAGGUGGAGCUGAGCAGCGACAGGCGGCCUGGCACCGAACAGAAAACCUCGGCCGGGUUGGACACGGCGCCCAUGCCGAGGCCGUCCUUCCCGAGGGACAAGGCGGACAAGGAUGAACCGUUCAGCUUGGAUGGGACAGGAACUGGAAGGCCCAAAAAGAAAAGAGCACCACCAUUCCAAAAAUGGAGGGGGCUGGGGGGGGAAGAAGGCGAAGCCAUAAGAGAGAUCACCUGAAGCUCAUCCAGGCCGUGAUGUCCUAUGUGCAUCCCCAGGGGUCCGUCCCCGAGAGCGGCGGCCCCUUCGCCGAGACCGUGGAG